rnacentral:tRNA from 1 species
GGACGGGUGGCCGAGUGGCUUAAGGCGCACGAUUGGAAAUCGUGUGGGGCUAAACGCCCGCGUGGGUUCGAAUCCCACCCCGUCCG